GCCACGCCCGCUACAGAAACUACGAAAGGAAGUUGACGGGGGCCCGCACAAGCGGAGGAGCAUGUGGUUUAAUUCGAUGAUACGCGAGGAACCUUACCUGGGCUCGAACGUAAGAUGACUGUAGGUGAAAGCUUACAUCUCUUCGGAGCAUUUUACGAGGUGCUGCAUGGUUGUCGUCAGCUCGUGCCGUGAGGUGUCGGGUUAAGUCCCAUAACGAGCGCAACCCCUACCUUUAGUUGCCAUCAGGUUAAGCUGGGGACUCUAAAGGAACUGCCUACGCAAGUAGUGAGGAAGGCGGGGAUGACGUCAAAUCAGCACGGCCCUUACGUCCAGGGCUACACACGUGCUACAAUGGCCGAUACAGAGGGCAGCUACCUGGUGACAGGAUGCAAAUCUCCAAAGUCGGUCUCAGUUCGGAUCGGAGUCUGCAACCCGACUCCGUGAAGUUGGAUUCGCUAGUAAUCGCGCAUCAGCCAUGGCGCGGUGAAUACGUUCCCGGGCCUU
rnacentral:rRNA from 1 species